rnacentral:rRNA from 1 species
GACGUAGGGCGCGAGCGUUGUCCGGAUUUAUUGGGCGUAAAGAGCUCGUAGGCGGCUUGUCGCGUCGACCGUGAAAACUUGGGGCUCAACCCCAAGCCUGCGGUCGAUACGGGCAGGCUCGAGUUCGGUAGGGGAGACUGGAAUUCCUGGUGUAGCGGUGAAAUGCGCAGAUAUCAGGGGGAACACCGAUGGCGAAGGCAGGUCUCUGGGCCGAUACUGACGCUGAGGAGCGACAGCGUGGGGAGCAAACAGG